rnacentral:lncRNA from 1 species
AAUGCUAUAUUAUCUGUUGGUAUUUUUUCCUAUGUAUAGCAUUUGGUGUUUUGCUAAAUGGCUUGUGAUGUUUAAAUCCCUUUUAUCUUCUUGAGUUGACAGAUGAUGAGAAAAGAAAACAACUUGAUUGAAAACUAAGAUUAAGCAUUAUCAAUGGAAUAGCAAGAGGUCUUUUAUACCUUCAUGAGGACUCUCGACUCAGAGUAAUUCAUAGAAAUCUCAAAGCUAGCAAUUUAGAUUGGCAACGGCAUUUGAAAUUGGACAGAGCAAAUACAAAGCGGGCACUCAGUGAGUUUUACUUAUACCAAACAUAUCUUAUCAGGAUGACUUGUGAAUGCAUAGUUCAGAUUUGAAUGAUUGAAAAAAUGAAAUUCCUUGUCAUAUACUUGAAACAAGAGAAAUUAACAAAGCUCUAUUGUUUUGAAUUAGUGGAUACAUGGCUCCUGAGUACGCUAUGCAAGGAUUGUUUUCAGUGAAAUCAGAUGUUUUCAGCUUUGGAGUUCGAGUUCUACAAACCAUUUGUGGAAGAAAGAACAACGGAUUCUAUCUGUCAGAACAUGGUCAAACUCUUCUUUUAUAUGUGAGUCAUCCCUCUGAUUAACCAAAUAUCAACUAUAAUAGAAAACUGAAUUAUGACAGUACUAUUCACAAAUUAAUUACAAAUACUUGUAGGCUUGGAGAACAUGGUGUGAGGGAAAAUGUUUGGAAUUGAUGGAUCCAAUGCUGGGGAAAUGCUUCAAAGCCAGUGAAGUUGAGAAGUGCAUACACAUUGCUUUGUUGUGCGUUCAAGAAAAUGCAACAUACAUACAGACUAACCAUGUCAGAUGUUGUUGUUAUGCUAGGGAGUGACAACAUAACGCUUCCAAAACCCAAGCACCCAACAUUUUCAGUUGGAAGAAAGGUGUCCGAGGAAGUGCCAAAAUCAAAAAGAUCCAAGAAUCUUUGUAGUACUGAUGUAACAAUCUCUAUUACUUUACCGGGGCAAUAAAUAGUUGCAAAAAGAAUUUAUCAAUGAUUGAGAUUUACUCAUGUAAUUAGUUAUUUAGACAUAACACUACUACAAAUAUGAAUAUUCUAUAAUCAUUCAGCAUCUUUUAUUAUAUAUAUCAAUACUGUGGGAUAUAUUUUAUUCUUCCUUUUAUAGUGAGCAUAGCAAAUAAGAAAAUUCCAAUGCCUGCCUCAGACAAGAGGGUACAUGUUUGUGUUCCUCAUAAAUUCUCAUGCACAAUAUCUGCUCAGUGGCAGAUUAAAUAGGUCGAGUUUUAAAAGUAAAUAAAUCAAUAAAUUUUUGAUUUCCUGUUACUAUAGCUAGAUAUUUUUGGAGCAGGGGAUAAUUUGACCAAACUGGUUUCGGAUCUGUGUUUUGCAUCUGAGCAAAGCCUUAUCCUGGAAGAAAGUUAAGAGAAGAAGCCAAUGGCCAUUAGUAUAGGCUUUGAUAGAUGGUCUCGGACAAGCUGCAGUUUUAAGCAGUGAGCGUGGCUUUUCUUUUGGAGCCAAUGAUUCACCAAGCUUAACCUCCUGCACUGUAUGAAAAGCUGCAGAAAGAAAUACAAAAAUGCAGCAGAAAUUGAGUAAGGAAUAACUCUUAGUUUGAUUCUUUCUUGUUUCUUUUUGUAUGAGUGAUUGCAGCUUGGUUUCAAUCUGGGAAGAGCCUUAAGAAAGUAGGGGAUUUUUAUUCUGCUAUAUGUUUUUUUCUGGAUCUGUAUAAGGGUUGGACAUCAUAAAAUACACUUGCACUGUUUAAUUUAUUUUAUUUUUUACUGACAAAAAAAGAAUAGCUAGUUAUUUUUCAUACUGAAUGAUCAAUCACUAAAUAUUACCUAAUAGAACGAGUAACCAAUUUCACUUAAUCUCAAAAGUAAUUCUGCACAUACAUAUUAAUUAGAUUUAGAUGCAGUCUCAAACUGCGAAUUUUAUCAGACUUAAACAUGACCAAGUUUGAAACCACACAUUACUAUAUAAAGUUCUCUACAUUGUUUACAAACAAGCAGUGAUGCAAAAAUACCAUAUUGGAAGUAAUCAAGAAUGGAAGGGCUUAUAUGUAUGUGGAUUGAAUAUUUGAUCCAAAUAUUAUUUCCAGUACUUUGGAUUCAAUGCCUUCAUCUAAUGCUUUCCAAAUGGUAUUUGGUUCCCUAAACGGUAUUUGUUUUCUUCAAUUUUUUGGCUCACUUCUAAUGAUAUUGAUAUCAUUUUUCUUCGGAAAGGAAUCUAAAAGUUUGUGCAUGCCCAUAGGAAAUAGGAGUCUCAUUUUUUGAAACUCAAACAACUUCACACAUUCAUAAUUCUCAUUUUUUUGUUAUCACUCAAACCAGUUUGAGUUGGUGGUGGCUGUGGCCUGUUUGUGAAAAUGCUUGGGAGAGCCAUGGAGCACAAUGGCCGUGGGUUUGCAAAGAAAGGCAAGGAUAUGGUGAUGCUUAUUGCAAAAUGAAUGAAAUAAGUUUUUUGUGCCUGAAAAUUGGGGGAAAUGCAAAGAGUUAACUUGCCUAGUUGGUACUGUGCAUAUUCUCUUGUUAAUGGGUUGUCAUGGCAUAUUCUGUGAGUUUGAGGUUAUUUUGUACUCAUAACAUUUUUUUCCUGUGACAUUAAUUGACGUUGUAGACGUGAUAUUUGGUGAGGAUGUAACACUGACUCUAUAUUAUAAUAUAUGACCCGUAACACACGCAAAAUUGGUUACUCGUGUGUCUGUAAGUGGUUAAUUAUGUGACGCACGUAAAACUGGUUAUUCGUUUGUGUAAGUGGUUACUUAUGUGACAUUUAUGACCAUCCACUCUUCAUGAAAAAAAAAAUCAUUUUUUUUAAUAAGAACCAUAUAUUACAUCGGUUAUAUGACUUGACUGGUGUAAUAACCCUACCAGAACUACCCAGCUAUAGGUUCCUCCACAUAUACUGGUACACAUAAAACUGAUUACCCGUAUGUCUGUAAAUGGUUAUGUAUGUUCAGCACAAACACCUUACAUGAACUAUUACUGUCAAUAUUUCAAAAAUAGGUUUCUCUAAACACCCUAUUCAGCACAAACACUUGCAAUCUACCUAAAAAUCCAGAUACAAGGAAUAUAUCACCUCAAUAAUUACAUCUAAACUGAAAUCAAAUUAAAUGAACACUUAUUGAUUAACAUAAAAUGGUCUCCAAAAUUGCCAAAUUUUUUUCCAAGAACUCAGUCUUCAAACUCGGAAUUACAACUAUCUGAAAAUAAUUCUUUUUCUCAGUUUUUCAAAAAAUUUCAUUCGACUUCAAAAUGUUUUGAAAGAGAGAGUUAUAUAGACAACAGAUCGGUGAAUCUUUUCUCCUUGUAUGUUGCUCUUUUUACCCAUUCUUACCAAAUUAAAGACUUCCAACUUACACUCUAAUAGAAAUUAGUUAGUUGUCGUUCUGUUCUGGUACAUAUAUUAUUAUGCAAAAUACCCAAAAAGGUUAAUACAUUAUGUUUUUCUUUCAUAACAUGAAACUAUACUAAACUUAUCCCAUGUUAUAAGUCAUCUUUUUAAGGGGGAAAUGCUAUAUUGUCUCUUGGUAUCUUUUUUCCUGUGUAAGGCAAAUACUUAGCAUUUGGUUUUUUGCUAAAUGGCUUGUGAUGCUCAAAUCCCUUUUAUCUUCUUGAGUUGACAGAUGAUGAGAAAAGAAAACAACUUGACUGGAAACUAAGAUUAAGCAUAAUCAAUGGAAUAGCAAGAGUUUUUCUAUACCUUCAUGAGGACUCUCGACUCAGAGUAAUUCAUA